rnacentral:rRNA from 1 species
UGGGGAAUUUUGGACAAUGGGCGAAAGCCUGAUCCAGCCAUGCCGCGUGAGUGAAGAAGGCCUUCGGGUUGUAAAGCUCUUUUAGUCGGAAAGAAAGAGUUGCAAUGAAUAAUUGUGAUUUAUGACGGUACCGACAGAAAAAGCACCGGCUAACUACGUGCCAGCUGCCGCGGUAAUACGUAGGGUGCGAGCGUUAAUCGGAAUUACUGGGCGUAAAGGGUGCGCAGGCGGUUUUGCAAGUCAGAUGUGAAAGCCCCGGGCUUAACCUGGGAAUUGCGUUUGAAACUACAAGGCUAGAGUGCAGCAGAGGGGAGUGGAAUUCCAUGUGUAGCAGUGAAAUGCGUAGAGAUGUGGAAGAACACCGAUGGCGAAGGCAGCUCCCUGGGUUGACACUGACGCUCAUGCACGAAAGCGUGGGGAGCAAACA